UGCAGGGGAGAGUAGCAAGACGGUUACUCCACAGAAGAUUCAUUCGGCUUCACCAACACCUAAUACUCGACAACAUGAUGCCCUGAAUGCAAGGGCUGCCGCGGGGGCAAGUAGCAAGACGGUUACUCCACUGAAGAUUCAUUCGGUUUUGCCAACACCUAAUACUCAAAAUCCAGAUGCCCUGAAUGCACGUUCUACCACGGCGAUGAGUACGAAUCACAUUACUCCACUGGCA